rnacentral:rRNA from 1 species
ACUUAAAUUGAAGAGUUUGAUCAUGGCUCAGAUUGAACGCUGGCGGCAGGCCUAACACAUGCAAGUCGAGCGGUAGCACAGAGAGCUUGCUCUCGGGUGACGAGCGGCGGACGGGUGAGUAA